GUCGAGCGAAUCUGAUGGGAGCUUGCUCCUUGUCAGAUUACGGCCGGAGGGUGGAUUAACCGUGGGGUAACCGGCCGGUAAAAUGGGAAUACUUCCGGAAAACCGGGGUUAUUACGGAAUAAUUUUUUCUUCCCAUGGAGGGAAAUUGAAAGGGGGGUCCUAGCUACCCCUUACGAAUGGACCCGCGGCGCAUUACCUAGUUGGGGAGGUAACGGCUCCCCAAGGCAACAAUGCGUACCCAACUUGAAAGGGGGAUCGGCCCCCCUGGGACUGAAACCCGGCCCAAACUCCUACGGAAGGCACCAUUAGGGAAUCUUCCCCAUUGAACAAAAGUCUGACGAACCACCCCCCCGGGAGUGAUGAAGGUUUUCGAAUCGUAAAAUUCUGUUGUUAGGAAAAAACAAUUUUCGUUCGAAUAGGGGGGAACCUUGACGGUACCUAACCAAAAAGCCCCGGUUAAUUACUUGCCACCACCCGCGGAAAUACUUAGGGGGCAAGCGUUGUCCGGAAUUAUGGGGCGUAAGGCGCGCGCAGGCGGUUCCUUAGUUCUAAGUUGAAAGCCCCCGGCUCACCCGUGAAGGGUCAUUGAAACCGGGGAAACUGGAUUGCAAAAAAGAAAACCGAAAUCCCCCGUGUACCGUUAAAUUGCGUAAAGAUGUGAAGGACCACCAGUGGCAAAGGCGGUUCUUUGGCCUGUAACUGACCCUGAGGCGCGAAAGCUUGGGAGCGAACAGGAUUAGAUACCCUGUAGUCCCCGCCGUAAACGAUGAGUGCUAAGUUGUUAGAGGGUUUCCGCCCCUUUAGUGCUGCAGCUACCGCAUUUAGCCACUCCCGCCUUGGGAGUACGGCCGCAGCUUGAAACUCAAGGAAUUGACGGGG
rnacentral:rRNA from 1 species